rnacentral:lncRNA from 1 species
AGCGAUCAACUUUUUGGCGCCGUUGCCGGGGACUGUGUAGAAUUUACUUUAAUAUUUCUGAUAGGACUUAGGCAUUAUUUCAGGCUUUUUUAUUUUUUUAUUUUUAUUUCAUGGCUCCUGAUGUUUGACUGAUGUGUCCCUCGGAGUAUAGGCGUAUAGUGGAAGAUCUGGAAAGAUUGCUCGAAGAAUCGGACAGGCGUGCACAACAUCAGUCAUAUUUAAAGUUGCACGAUGCCGAGGAUAAAGAUGAGGAGAUUGAGAAAAUAGCUGUU